GAUGAACGCUGGCGGCGUGCCUAAUACAUGCAAGUCGAGCGAAUGGAUUAAGAGCUUGCUCUUAUGAAGUUAGCGGCGGACGGGUGAGUAACACGUGGGUAACCUGCCCAUAAGACUGGGAUAACUCCGGGAAACCGGGGCUAAUACCGGAUAACAUUUUGAACCGCAUGGUUCGAAAUUGAAAGGCGGCUUCGGCUGUCACUUAUGGAUGGACCCGCGUCGCAUUAGCUAGUUGGUGAGGUAACGGCUCACCAAGGCAACGAUGCGUAGCCGACCUGAGAGGGUGAUCGGCCACACUGGGACUGAGGCACGGCCCAGACUCCUACGGGAGGCAGCAGUAGGGAAUCUUCCGCAAUGGACGAAAGUCUGACGGAGCAACGCCGCGUGAGUGAUGAAGGCUUUCGGGUCGUAAAACUCUGUUGUUAGGGAAGAACAAGUGCUAGUUGAAUAAGCUGGCACCUUGACGGUACCUAACCAGAAAGCCACGGCUAACUACGUGCCAGCAGCCGCCAGUAA
rnacentral:rRNA from 1 species